rnacentral:rRNA from 1 species
UACGUAGGGUGCAAGCGUUAAUCGGAAUUACUGGGCGUAAAGCGUGCGCAGGCGGUUGUGCAAGACAGAUGUGAAAUCCCCGGGCUCAACCUGGGAAUUGCAUUUGUGACUGCACGGCUAGAGUGUGUCAGAGGGGGUAGAAUUCCACGUGUAGCAGUGAAAUGCGUAGAGAUGUGGAGGAAUACCGAUGGCGAAGGCAGCCCCCUGGGAUAACACUGACGCUCAUGGCACGAAAGCGUGGGGAGCAAACAGG